GCAAUUUUUUUUUCUUUUUAUAAUGUCUUGUUUAAGGUGCUAUCCCCGUUAUGUCUUGCUGGAGGGUAUUGAGGAUUAUUAUUUCGAAGGGUAUUUGGUCACUAGAGCUAGGGUAGCCCACAAGGAUAUUUAGUCUGCUCUGUUCUAAGUGCAAAUUCCAUUGAUUCCUAACAUUUUCUUCUACUGUUUUGAUGAUAGGGACAUAUCCAACAAAAAGGGGACAAAAAAAAGAGCAGAAGAUUACCAAACUAGCCAAAACAGUAUUCCAAGAAUAGGAGAGUAGGGUGGAAAUAUUUCUUUUUAGGAAGAAAAGAUAGUAUGCUGCCACUGUAUUCAUUAAGAAAAAUGAACUAAUCUUCGAGAGAAUGAGGCAACAACAUCUGGGAGAAGGAAAGAAAGCAAAAGAAACAGAAGAGAGCGAAAAGAUAGUAUGCUGGUUUAAGGUUCUCUUCUGAUGCAGGAAAGUAGUAUUGUUCCUUUCAAGCCAAAUUAUCCAUCAGGAGGCAAAUAAUUGAUGCAUUAAUCUGAUUUCUAUGUAGAAGGGACUCCCAUAAGACACAUACUGAAACCGGUUCGGAACGGAUUAGAAGCUCAAGCUAAGUAGAAGGGGGUCCAGUGUAGACGCAUCCUGAGAACAAAUGGCUGUUCUCUGGAAUUUUCGACUUCCAAAUUUGUGGGUGUUAGGAUCUCUUACGCCUCCAUCUACAACAACAUUGUAAAGCGAUUUGACCGUGAAGGAUUGAGAGGAAAUUUUGGAUCUGAUUCAGUGCCUGGAACUUGAAUAGUUGAAAUACUUCAAUUAUUAGACGAAAUUUUGAACUACUUAGCUGACAAAAAAAAAGAGGAGGAAAAAAAAAGGGAUGACAAACUGAAACAGAGAAACCAUAUGCCAACGUUCCAAAGUAUCAUGUUUGGAUUCAAAACCAUAUUUAGGAGGGAUACAUAUAUUGUAGUAGUAGUAUUCAACUUACCUGAUUGGAAGUAUGUAAUACAACAACUUGUUUAGCUGGAGAAAUAGAAAUGCUAUGAGAGUUUUUGGAAUGUUUGUUCAGACCUAUAUUAUAUUGUUUCUUAUCAGAUGUAUUUUUGUGUUUCGUUUAGAAACCUGGAUCUCCAAAAACAGAAGAACCCUAUAUUCUUAGCACGACACUCCCUGUGACUUUCUCUCAAUAUUUUUUUUUUGAGAAAAAGGUAGCAAGCUACCUGCUUCAUUCAUAAAGUGGGAUGAAUUAAGCGUACAAGGUGGAAGCAACGAUGGCCUCCGAAAACGGCAAAAGGAGAAAACAGAGAUAAAGAAAAAAGGAGAAAAGAAACAAAGUAAGCUAGUACAAGAGUUAGGUCAGGUCAGUAUACUCUAGUCUCGAAUCAAACUGUUGAUACGUCCCGCCGAGUGGACUGCGUUUGGGGGUGCGUCCCGAAAGAUGACCGAGUUUCUAUCUGACCAGACGACCCACCAGGUUGCCGCCAGAUGAGUUAAGCCUUUAAGUUUCAACACGUCGUUUGGAGUUUCUGAUACUUUUGCCCAAAGAUUGCACACUGCUCCUGUGGUAUCAAGAAAUGCAUCGAGGUCCGCUGUAGAGAGUAGAAGGAAGCGAACAAAGAUGCAGUUAGCGAAAAGAUGAUCACAGCUUUCUGGGAGAACCCCGCAUAGCACACAAAGCGGAUCUACGGACAUGCCUCUGGUGAGCAGCCUGUCAGAAGUGAGAAGUCUCUUUCGAAGCAACGUCCAGAUGAAGAUCUUAAUUUUGGUUGGAAUCUUCAAGGUCCAGAUAUGUUGAUUUCACCGAUCUCUACAUCCCCCAUCUGUGAUGAACUGGUAAUGGGAUUUAACCGAAAACAGGUGAUGACUACAUAAUAUUGUAUGUCACGUGCACUUUCUCUCAAUAUUGUAUAGUGAUGACUACAUAAUCAAAUGGACUAUGUCACGUGCACUGACUAGAGAGACAAAAAUCACACAGUUAUAUGGCGGAUGUAGGAAUUGAACUUAAAACGACUUGGAAUGGAAGGGUAUUAGA